ACUGAAGUACAGUGCCAAGGAAUACUUCUUUAGGGCCGCCUUAUGUCAUUUAAGUAUUGAUUUAUUAAAUGCCCAACAUGCUAUAGAGAAAUACUCCAAUCAAUACCCAGCAUUCCAAGACUCCAGAGAAUAUAAAUUGAUUAAGGUUCUUUGUGAACAUUUGGAGGAUCAAAAUAUUGAUGGUUUCACCGAGGCUGUGAAAAACUAUGAUAGCAUUUCACGUUUGGAUCAAUGGUAUACUACCAUUUUAUUGCGUAUCAAGAAAGCUGCUGAUGAGGAUCCUGAUCUGCGAUAAAAAUCUUUAUUUUUAUUAUAUCUUUAUUAUACAUGAACCAUUUAUCUUCAACGUUUAUUUUGUUUGUUGUUUUUUUUUUGUAUACAAAAGUAAAAGAAAAUUAGUAAUUAUUAUAUACCUUUAUAAUAGUAAUAAUAAAAAUAAUAAAUAACUGGGAUCAGCUGGUCUUGAUUUAGUGUCCAAUACUAGUGUCCAAAAGCACAAAAAA